rnacentral:rRNA from 1 species
UAACACAUGCAAGUCGAACGGAGCUUAAAGAGCUUGCUUUUUAAGCUUAGUGGCGAACGGGUGAGUAACGCGUGAGUAACCUGCCUUGUACAGGGGGAUAACACUUGGAAACAGGUGCUAAUACCGCAUAAGACCACGAGAUCACAUGGUUCUGGGGUAAAAGAAUUAUCGGUUUGGGGUGGGCUCGCGUCCGAUUAGGUAGUUGGUGAGGUAACGGCCCACCAAGCCGACGAUCGGUAGCCGACCUGAGAGGGUGAUCGGCCACAUUGGGACUGAGACACGGCCCAAACUCC